rnacentral:lncRNA from 1 species
CAUGGAGCUUGUAAUUCAAAUUUUUCUCAUUCAAUAAAUUUUAACAUGGUAUCAGAGCAGAGAAUUCUUCUUGCGGCUGUUUUUGUUUUGAGAUUUAAUUCAUCUCAUGCCUCUGUGUUCUGCUCAAAUUAAGCAGAUUUAUAAUUUUUCUAUUUUACCAUAAUUCUGGAAGCAAUUGUUCCUCUUCUGCAGUUGCGAUUUUUGCUGGAAUAUUCUUGGUUUUCUGAAGGCAGAACCUUCAAAAUGCAAAAGCCUUUACUUCUCCAUAACCAGUCGUCACAUGCAUCAUGCAGAGUAUUUGUCUUUGUUGCCACUGCCUGAUGCUGCAGUUGUAGAUCAUUAAAUAAUUCGAGUGUUUCAUCCACCAGAAUAAGCCUUCUUCUCCAUUAUUUUCUGAAGGUGGUACCUUCCGUAUUUACAGAUAUUAAUGGAAAUACCAUCUGAUCAAAUCAAUUCUCUGUAACUGAACAUGUUAGGGGAUCAGAAGUGGGUCAUCUUCAAUUUCUUCCUGGAGUUUUCUUCUUUUAUGACUUUUCACCAAUAAGGUUGACUUUAUCAUCUCAGAUUUCUAAUAAGUCUUUCACCAAUAAAGGUUCUGCAACAUAAAUCUUCCAAUAAAGGUGACUUUCACCAAUAAAGACUUCAAGUGGAAUUUCUUCUUUUAUGACCUUUCACCAAUAAAGGUCACUUUCAUAGAUAUUCACGUUUUUCAUUCAUGCACUUCCUGGCCAAUUUAUGCACCAUUAUUAGAGGUGUUAAUAGACUCACUAGAUUAUCAUGGUUGAAAGGCGAUCAAGAAGAAGAUGGAGCUUGGCAAGUUUAGCUGAUGAUUCUCCUCACUUCUAUCACAGAAUUCAGUUGUAAUAUGUUCAGCUUUUGUACUGCUUUGUUUGGUUGCCUUGCUACAUCAACAAAGACAAUUCUUGUGGAGUCUUUACGACAUGGUUACAAAUUUGACAGCAUAAACGCAAUGACAUUCAACGCUGCUGGAAAUCUCAAGCUGGAUCUCCUAGUCCAUCUUGAGGGGGGGUGUAUUAGAAUUGCACCAGAUUCUUGAUCCCAG